GCUGUGAUGGCCGAGUGGUUAAGGCGUUGGAUUCGAAAUCCAAUGGAGGUUCCCCGCGUAGAUUCAAAUACUACUCACAGCG